rnacentral:ncRNA from 1 species
ACCCAUAACCCAUAACCCUUCCAAAGAUGCAAUGUGAUUUAUUCUCAUUGCUCUACAUGUCAAAGUGAAGAAAUUUAGCCAAGCACGAGUAAACGGCGGGAGUAACUAUGAAUCUCUUAAGGUAUCCAGAUGCCUCGUAAUCUAAUUAGUGAUGCGCAUGAAUGGAUCAUUAACGAGAUUCCCCACUUUCCCUAGCUAUUAUAUUCUAGAGAAACCACAUCCAAUGGAAUGGGCUUGGCAAAAUUAGUGGGGAAAGAAGACCUUGUUGAGAUUGACUCUAGUCCUAACCCAUUCAUAGUUUGGAAAAAUUAGGGCAUAGU